rnacentral:rRNA from 1 species
CCUUGAAAUACCACCCUUUAAUGUUUGAUGUUCUAACGUGGACCCGUAAUCCGGGUUGCGGACAGUGUCUGGUGGGUAGUUUGACUGGGGCGGUCUCCUCCUAAAGAGUAACGGAGGAGCACGAAGGUUGGCUAAUCCUGGUCGGACAUCAGGAGGUUAGUGCAAUGGCAUAAGCCGGCUUGACUGCGAGCGUGACGGCGCGAGCAGGUGCGAAAGCAGGUCAUAGUGAUCCGGUGGUUCUGAAUGGAAGGGCCAUCGCUCAACGGAUAAAAGGUACUCCGGGGAUAACAGGCUGAUACCGCCCAAGAGUUCAUAUCGACGGCGGUGUUUGGCACCUCGAUGUCGGCUCAUCACAUCCUGGGGCUGAAGUAGGUCCCAAGGGUAUGGCUGUUCGCCAUUUAAAGUGGUACGCGAGCUGGGUUUAGAACGUCGUGAGACAGUUCGGUCCCUAUCUGCCGUGGGCGCUGGAGAAUUGAGGGGGGCUGCUCCUAGUACGAGAGGACCGGAGUGGACGCAUCACUGGUGUUCGGGUUGUCAUGCCAAUGGCACUGCCCGGUAGCUAAAUGCGGAAGAGAUAAGUGCUGAAAGCAUCUAAGCACGAAACUUGCCCCGAGAUGAGUUCUCCCUGACUCCUUGAGAGUCCUGAAGGAACGUUGAAGACGACGACGUUGAUAGGCCGGGUGUGUAAGCGCAGCGAUGCGUUGAGCUAACCGGUACUAAUGAACCGUGAGGCUUAACCUUACAACGCCGAAG